rnacentral:rRNA from 1 species
ACGGGUGAGUAAUGUCUGGGAAACUGCCUGAUGGAGGGGGAUAACUACUGGAAACGGUAGCUAAUACCGCAUAACGUCGCAAGACCAAAGAGGGGGACCUUCGGGCCUCUUGCCAUCAGAUGUGCCCAGAUGGGAUUAGCUAGUAGGUGGGGUAAUGGCUCACCUAGGCGACGAUCCCUAGCUGGUCUGAGAGGAUGACCAGCCACACUGGAACUGAGACACGGUCCAGACUCCUACGGGAGGCAGCAGUGGGGAAUAUUGCACAAUGGGCGCAAGCCUGAUGCAGCCAUGCCGCGUGUGUGAAGAAGGCCUUCGGGUUGUAAAGCACUUUCAGCGAGGAGGAAGGUGGUGAACUUAAUACGUUCAUCAAUUGACGUUACUCGCAGAAGAAGCACCGGCUAACUCCGUGCCAGCAGCCGCGGUAAUACGGAGGGUGCAAGCGUUAAUCGGAAUUACUGGGCGUAAAGCGCACGCAGGCGGUUUGUUAAGUCAGAUGUGAAAUCCCCGGGCUCAACCUGGGAACUACAUUUGAAACUGGCAAGCCAGAGUCUCGUAGAGGGGGGUAGAAUUCCAGGUGUAGC